rnacentral:rRNA from 1 species
UACGUAGGGGGCAAGCGUUGUCCGGAUUUAUUGGGCGUAAAGAGCGUGUAGGCGGUUUGGUAGGUCCGUUGUGAAAACUCGAGGCUCAACCUCGAGACGCCGAUGGAAACCAUCAGACUAGAGUCCGGAAGAGGAGAGUGGAAUUCCUGGUGUAGCGGUGAAAUGCGCAGAUAUCAGGAGGAACACCAAUUGCGAAGGCAGCUCGCUGGAACGUAACUGACGCUGAGACGCGAAAGCGUGGGGAGCAAACAGG